CAGUCGCCGCGGUAAUACGAGGGGGGCAAGCGUUGUUCGGAAUUAUUGGGCGUAAAGGGUGCGUAGGCGGUUUCGUAAGUCUGAUGUGAAAUCUAUGGGCUCAACCCAUAGUCUGCAUCGGAAACUGCGAGGCUUGAGAGUGGGAGAGGUGAGUGGAAUUUCCGGUGUAGCGGUGAAAUGCGUAGAUAUCGGAAGGAACACCUGUGGCGAAAGCGGCUCACUGGACCAUUUCUGACGCUGAUGCACGAAAGCUAGGGGAGCAAACAGGAUUAGAGACCCCAGUAGUCCCUGUCUCUUAUAC
rnacentral:rRNA from 1 species